AGAGUUUGAUCCUGGCUCAGGAUGAACGCUGGCGGCGUGCCUAAUACAUGCAAGUCGAACGCUUCACUUCGGUGAAGAGUGGCGAACGGGUGAGUAAUACAUAAGUAACCUGGCAUCUACAGGGGGAUAACUGAUGGAAACGUCAGCUAAGACCGCAUAGGUGUAGAGAUCGCAUGAACUCUAUAUGAAAAGUGCUACGGGACUGGUAGAUGAUGGACUUAUGGCGCAUUAGCUGGUUGGUAGGGUAACGGCCUACCAAGGCGACGAUGCGUAGCCGACCUGAGAGGGUGACCGGCCACACUGGGACUGAGACACGGCCCAGACUCCUACGGGAGGCAGCAGUAGGGAAUCUUCGGCAAUGGGCGAAAGCCUGACCGAGCAACGCCGCGUGAAUGAUGAAGGCCUUCGGGUUGUAAAAUUCUGUUAUAAGGGAAGAACGACUUUAGUAGGAAAUGGCUAGAGUGUGACGGUACCUUAUGAGAAAGCCACGGCUAACUACGUGCCAGCAGCCGCGGUAAUACGUAGGUGGCGAGCGUUAUCCGGAAUUAUUGGGCGUAAAGAGGGAGCAGGCGGCACUAAGGGUCUGUGGUGAAAGAUCGAAGCUUAACUUCGGUAAGCCAUGGAAACCGUAGAGCUAGAGUGUGUGAGAGGAUCGUGGAAUUCCAUGUGUAGCGGUGAAAUGCGUAGAUAUAUGGAGGAACACCAGUGGCGAAGGCGACGAUCUGGCGCAUAACUGACGCUCAGUCCCGAAAGCGUGGGGAGCAAAUAGGAUUAGAUACCCUAGUAGUCCACGCCGUAAACGAUGAGUACUAAGUGUUGGGAGUCAAAUCUCAGUGCUGCAGUUAACGCAAUAAGUACUCCGCCUGAGUAGUACGUUCGCAAGAAUGAAACUCAAAGGAAUUGACGGGGGCCCGCACAAGCGGUGGAGCAUGUGGUUUAAUUCGAAGCAACGCGAAGAACCUUACCAAGUCUUGACAUCCCUCUGACCGAUCCGUAACGGGACCUUUCCUUCGGGACAGGGGAGACAGGUGGUGCAUGGUUGUCGUCAGCUCGUGUCGUGAGAUGUUGGGUUAAGU
rnacentral:rRNA from 1 species